CCCGGGGGCAGAAAAAAUGCCCCUCCUCUCAGACCACCUGCUUCAUCCCAGAACCGCCCAUUCCUCUCCAAGACACCCAUUUCACUACAAAGGCCGGCUCUCCCAAGGCCUCCUCCCGGAGAAAGCGUCCCUUUUAGGCUCUACCCCGUCAAUCUCCGGCCGCUCACAAACACUUGUUUGACCUCCGGGCUCCCGCCCGACCCUCGGUCACCUGGGUCAUUCCAUCAAUCCCCGAGAUUCACAGGAGCGCCCGCCCAUGCCCCAGCCCACCCGCUAGGCCGCAGGCCGGUCGGCGACAGGCACCUCACCAGGUGCUGUCACCCGCUGCGACCCUCCCCACCUGGCCCCCACCCGCUUCCCCACGGUGGAGGAGGGGCGCGCCCGCGAGCCUGGAGCGACGCGGGUGGGUCCGCGUGCCCGCUAAGCGUGGCUGACAAAGAGCGGGGACGCGCGACCGAGGACCAACAGGGCGCUGGGGCCAGCGGCCGAGCCCUGGGGCCGGGAAGCGACCUUCCCCGCCCAGCCCUGCCCGCUCCCGAAGGUCCGGCGCCGGGCCCCGGCAGGGCUCCGUGUCCCAUUUUACCGGGGAACACGCCUCCCUUCCACCCUGGCAGCGCCUGCACAGGGGAAACCCCAGCUCCGCGUCUUCACCGCUCCCCGGCUCCGGCCGCGGGGGCUGCAGGUGCGAGACCCGCACGGCCGCUGUGCCCGGGCCUGUCAAGCCGCCUGUCCACGGCCGCCGGCUGCCGGGGGCUGGGGCGCGGCUGCCUGGGGCGAUCAAUCACUGCACCCCGCUCACCGGGUAGGGCGCCUGCAUCCAACCCCGCGCCUCGUGCCUUACCCUGGGAGCCGAAGGAGGAAGAAAACGGACCCGCGGCGGCAGCGAGCUGGAGCUCAGUCGAGGGGAGCGUGGCGGAGCCGAGGGGAGCGGCUCCCACAAUGGCCGAGCUCGCGGCGCCGAGCCCCCCCCCCCCCCCCCCCCCCCCGCCCCGGCCGCAGCCGAGCCGGCGCAGCCGCCCAACCCGCUCCCCCACUCCCAGCGCCGACGCCGCCCCCCGCCCCCCGAUGCGCGCUCCCCCCGCCCUGCACCCCACCCUUGCGCUUGCGCUCGCCCCGCGCUCCCCUGCCUGUCCGUCGCCCCGCGCCCCCUCCGCACUGACCCCGCGUCCUCUUGCCGCCUCCAGGCGGUCCCUCCCCUCUGCAGCUCCUCCCCGGUGGCCUCCGGUGUCUCCCCCAGGCCAACCACACCCCCAAAUUCCCCGCCCUCUGCUCCGCGACCUCUCCGCCCCGGCCCCGCGGCCGCUCGCUGACCCUGGGCCAGCUCAGCCGGCCCGCCCCCUUGGAGUUCCUCACCGUCCCCAAGUCGCUCUCUCAGGCUGCCGAGCUGUCCGUCUGCCCAGACCCUGA
rnacentral:lncRNA from 1 species